ACCUCUUUGGCCGGUGAUGGUGAAGUUGUACACAUAGCUUUGCCCCGGCUGGAUAGGACAUUGUGUAAUGUAUGCCGGACCAUCAGCCCAGCCUGUUCGGAGUUGCCUGAUUCCAUGCCUACCACCACAUCGUGCACUCAUUAGAUUACUCUGCCAAACCAGGAAGAAGGCAGCAAAAUGCCAACAAGACAAAAGCUCGAACACCCGAAGACCCCAUUGGUAUCUUUUCUUUCCUUUUCUGGGGUUUCUGAGUUAUUUUGAUGUGUGAGAAAUGAAGAAGAUGGGUGAGAAUUGAUGGCCAUGCAACUCAUCCUUAUAAAGAGAAACACCAAAUGGGUUAAAUGGCUGAUUAAGCUCUCUGUGUUGUUGCUAUGUCGUUUUUUCUUAGUUAGGUGAUGAGUUAAACAAGUCUUCGUACCAAAGGAUUUUCAGAUGAAACCAGAAUCAGAUCCGCCAUUUUCUUUUAUAUAUCUUACAUUUUAAGUUUAUGUUUUUCAUUUUUUAAAAUUCUUUUUUUUUUUUUUUUCCUCAACUCUUCUGUGUUGUGUAUGUAUGUCUAUGAGAAGCAAUUAUGGACACCUUUUAAUACUCCAUAUAAUCAAAAGCUUCACCUUUAGCGUC